rnacentral:rRNA from 1 species
CAGGCCUAACACAUGCAAGUCGAACGGAAAGGCCCUGCUUUUGUGGGGUGCUCGAGUGGCGAACGGGUGAGUAACACGUGAGUAACCUGCCCUUGACUUUGGGAUAACUUCAGGAAACUGGGGCUAAUACCGGAUAGGAGCUCCUGCUGCAUGGUGGGGGUUGGAAAGUUUCGGCGGUUGGGGAUGGACUCGCGGCUUAUCAGCUUGUUGGUGGGGUAGUGGCUUACCAAGGCUUUGACGGGUAGCCGGCCUGAGAGGGUGACCGGCCACAUUGGGACUGAGAUACGGCCCAGACUCCUACGGGAGGCAGCAGUGGGGAAUAUUGCACAAUGGGCGGAAGCCUGAUGCAGCAACGCCGCGUGCGGGAUGACGGCCUUCGGGUUGUAAACCGCUUUCGCCUGUGACGAAGCGUGAGUGACGGUAAUGGGUAAAGAAGCACCGGCUAACUACGUGCCAGCAGCCGCGGUGAUACGUAGGGUGCGAGCGUUGUCCGGAUUUAUUGGGCGUAAAGGGCUCGUAGGUGGUUGAUCGCGUCGGAAGUGUAAUCUUGGGGCUUAACCCUGAGCGUGCUUUCGAUACGGGUUGACUUGAGGAAGGUAGGGGAGAAUGGAAUUCCUGGUGGAGCGGUGGAAUGCGCAGAUAUCAGGAGGAACACCAGUGGCGAAUGCGGUUCUCUGGGCCUUUCCUGACGCUGAGGAGCGAAAGCGUGGGGAGCGAACAGGCUUAGAUACCCUGGUAGUCCACGCUGUA